rnacentral:tRNA from 1 species
GAUGCUUUAGUUCAAUGGUAAAACGCCCGGGUUAAACCAGGAGUUGGAGGGUUCGAUUCCCCCUGGCAUCA